AUUGAACGCUGGCGGCAUGCCUUACACAUGCAAGUCGAACGGCAGCACGGGAGCAAUCCUGGUGGCGAGUGGCGAACGGGUGAGUAAUGUAUCGGAACGUGCCCAGUCGUGGGGGACAACGUAGCGAAAGCUACGCUAAUACCGCAUACGAUCUAUGGAUGAAAGCGGGGGAUCGCAAGAUCUUGCGCGAUUGGAGCGGCCGAUAUCAGAUUAGGUAGUUGGUGGGGUAAAGGCCCACCAAGCCUGCGAUCUGUAGCUGGUCUGAGAGGACGACCAGCCACACUGGAACUGAGACACGGUCCAGACUCCUACGGGAGGCAGCAGUGGGGAAUUUUGGACAAUGGGCGCAAGCCUGAUCCAGCAAUGCCGCGUGCAGGAUGAAGGCCUUCGGGUUGUAAACUGCUUUUGUACGGAACGAAACGGCUUUUUCUAAUACAGAGAGCUAAUGACGGUACCGUAAGAAUAAGCACCGGCUAACUACGUGCCAGCCGCCGCCGUAA
rnacentral:rRNA from 1 species